rnacentral:lncRNA from 1 species
CUCCUUUUUUUAUGAAUGGGGGGCCGGAAAAGAACUUAACCCGUGAUUGCUGGGGCUGGCUCGCUCCUCAAGGGGCCGUCGUUCUUUUACAAAGAGGGGUGGAGGUUGUUGUUGCUUCUUUUUUUUUUUUUUUCUGAAUGAAUGGAGGGCGGCGGCGACUGCUGCAGCUGGCUCAGCUGCACGGGCUGUACCCCCUCCCAGCCUUCGAGAGGAGAGCCACCGGUGAUAGGCGGCCCCUAAACAACAGCGAUUCCUGUGCUCUGCGUAUCUGCGUCCUCAUCGCUCUGGACUGAGAGGCCGUGGGCCACCCGGUCGGGACCCUCCUGGAAACCCAGGAGCUAUUCUUUCCAACGGAAUUGUCCUAACUCCGCCUUUGCUUCGGGACUUCCUUCCUUGAUGUUGUGAGAUCACAGACUUGUACAUCUGACGUCUAACAGGUUGGGAGUUAUUUUUCCCAUCAUAAUUUAACCUAACUCCACUGUUACUUGUAAUACUCGUAGAU